UGGGCGUAAGGGCUCGCAGGCGGUUUCUUAAGUCUGAUGUGAAAGCCCCCGGCUCAACCGGGGAGGGUCAUUGGAAACUGGGGAACUUGAGUGCAGAAGAGGAGAGUGGAAUUCCACGUGUAGCGGUGAAAUGCGUAGAGAUGUGGAGGAACACCAGUGGCGAAGGCGACUCUCUGGUCUGUAACUGACGCUGAGGAGCGAAAGCGUGGGGAGCGAACAGGAUUAGAUACCCUGGUAGUCCACGCCGUAAACGAUGAGUGCUAAGUGUUAGGGGGUUUCCGCCCCUUAGUGCUGCAGCUAACGCAUUAAGCACUCCGCCUGGGGAGUACGGUCGCAAGACUGAAACUCAAAGGAAUUGACGGGGGCCCGCACAAGCGGUGGAGCAUGUGGUUUAAUUCGAAGCAACGCGAAGAACCUUACCAGGUCUUGACAUCCUCUGACAAUCCUAGAGAUAGGACGUCCCCUUCGGGGGCAGAGUGACAGGUGGUGCAUGGUUGUCGUCAGCUCGUGUCGUGAGAUGUUGGGUUAAGUCCCGCAACGAGCGCAACCCUUGAUCUUAGUUGCCAGCAUUCAGUUGGGCACUCUAAGGUGACUGCCGGUGACAAACCGGAGGAAGGUGGGGAUGACGUCAAAUCAUCAUGCCCCUUAUGACCUGUGCUACACACGUGCUACAAUG
rnacentral:rRNA from 1 species